GGAGCAGGCGGCGCGGGGGCGCGCUGGGCGGGGGAGGCGUGGCCGGAGCUGCGGCGGCAAGCGGGCUGGGACUGCUCGGCCGCCUCCUGCCCGGCGAGCAGCUCAGACCAUGUCGCCUGAAGAAUGGACGUAUCUAGUGGUUCUUCUUAUCUCCAUCCCCAUCGGCUUCCUCUUUAAGAAAGCCGGUCCUGGGCUGAAGAGAUGGGGAGCAGCCGCUGUGGGCCUGGGGCUCACCCUGUUCACCUGUGGCCCCCACACUUUGCAUUCUCUGGUCACCAUCCUCGGGACCUGGGCCCUCAUUCAGGCCCAGCCCUGCUGGUGAGCCUGGCCAGUGAAGUCCAGGACCUGCAUCUGGCCCAGAGGAAGGAAAUGGCCUCAGGCUUCAGCAAGGGGCCCACCCUGGGGCUGCUGCCCGACGUGCCCUCCCUGAUGGAGACACUCAGCUACAGCUACUGCUACGUGGGAAUCAUGACAGGCCCGUUCUUCCGCUACCGCACCUACCUGGACUGGCUGGAGCAGCCCUUCCCCGGGGCAGUGCCCAGCCUGCGGCCCCUGCUGCGCCGCGCCUGGCCGGCCCCGCUCUUCGGCCUGCUGUUCCUGCUCUCCUCUCACCUCUUCCCGCUGGAGGCCGUGCGCGAGGACGCCUUCUACGCCCGCCCGCUGCCCGCCCGCCUCUUCUACAUGAUCCCCGUCUUCUUCGCCUUCCGCAUGCGCUUCUACGUGGCCUGGAUUGCCGCCGAGUGCGGCUGCAUUGCCGCCGGCUUUGGGGCCUACCCCGUGGCCGCCAAAGCCCGGGCCGGAGGCGGCCCCACCCUCCAAUGCCCACCCCCCAGCAGUCCGGAGAAGGCGGCUUCCUUGGAGUAUGACUAUGAGACCAUCCGCAACAUCGACUGCUACAGCACAGAUUUCUGCGUGCGGGUGCGCGAUGGCAUGCGGUACUGGAACAUGACGGUGCAGUGGUGGCUGGCGCAGUAUAUCUACAAGAGCGCACCUGCCCGUUCCUAUGUCCUGCGGAGCGCCUGGACCAUGCUGCUGAGCGCCUACUGGCACGGCCUCCACCCGGGCUACUACCUGAGCUUCCUGACCAUCCCGCUGUGCCUGGCUGCCGAGGGCCGGCUGGAGUCAGCCCUGCGGGGGCGGCUGAGCCCAGGGGGCCAGAAGGCCUGGGACUGGGUGCACUGGUUCCUGAAGAUGCGCGCCUAUGACUACAUGUGCAUGGGCUUCGUGCUGCUCUCCUUGGCUGACACCCUUCGGUACUGGGCCUCCAUCUACUUCUGUAUCCACUUCCUGGCCCUGGCAGCCCUGGGGCUGGGGCUGGCUUUAGGUGGGGGCAGCCCCAGCCGGCGGAAGGCAGCAUCCCAGCCCACCAGCCUUGCCCCGGAGAAGCUCCGGGAGGAGUAAGCUGUCACGACGCUCCCUCUGCCAGCUGGUCCCGGGAAUUCUGUGAACCAGGCUGCUGUCUCCUCCCCAGAAAGAGUCCUUACCUUGGAGAGGGUCCUGGAGAGAAUUUCCUCUUCCCCAGCUAAAUACCCUGCCUGCAACUGAAGCAGACCCGGGGGUGUCCUCCCUGCCCUCUGCCCAGAGGCCACCUCCACUCCUACAAAAUCAAAGUAUUGUCCAGACAAGAGUCACUGGCCCCUGCUCCAGCUUCUGGGUAUCCAGAGAGCACUGCACUUCCCCAAAACGGAAGGGGCCCCUGGGCAGUGGGUUUUGGGCAAAUUCCCUUUCUUUGCAUCCACAAUGUGGGGUCGGAGCUUGGGGGCAGGUCCUGGGAGUGGGAAGCCUCUUCCUUGUGUCUUUCGCUCCACUUUUAGCUCAUCGCACCAAUAUUGCAGACUUGGAAGGAAGCAUAAGCUUCCCAUUUCACAAAGGGGAAACUGAGGUGCGGGUGCGCGGGCCUGGGGACGGCCGUCCCAUGGCUUCCAUCUGAGCCACCUCGGGACCCCAGCACUCCUGGCGCCCUCUUCUCAUAGCUUGGCCUAUGACAGGUCACCGUGUGUAAAUCUUUCCCAAUAAAGUGUUGCACAAAG
rnacentral:misc_RNA from 1 species